rnacentral:lncRNA from 10 species
CCUUGCUGAGGGCAGAGGCAGGGUCUUGGGCUGCAAGCUCGCCUGCACCACCGCUACUCACUUGCACCUCCAUUCUCUAGCUCUUUUUAUUUUUAUUUUUUUGAGAUAAGGUCUCGCUCUGUUGCCCAGGCUGGAGCACAGUGGCGUGAUCUUGGAUCACUGCAGCCUCUAUCUCUCUGGCUCAGGGGAUUCUCCCACUUCAGCUUCCCAAGAAUUUGGGACCACAGGUGCCUGCUACCAUGCCCGGCUAAUUUUGUUUAUUUUUUGUAGAGAUGAGGUCUCACUAUGUUGCCCAGGCUGGUCUCGAGCUCCUGGGCUCAAGCAAUCCUCCCACCUCGGGCUCCCAAAUUGCUGGGAUUACAGGAGUAAGCCACUACGCCCGGCCCAUGCCUACAUUCUCUAGCCUCCUCUUCCCCCAUGCAUCUCUUAUCAAUGGGAUACAUUUUGAGAAAUUUCAUUGUUGUGUGAACAUCAUAGAGUGUACUAACACAAACCUAGAUGGAUCAGCCUACUACACUAGUAUUUGUGUAUCUAAACAAAUCUAAACAUAGAAAAGGUACAGUAGAAAUGCGAGACCAGCUCGACUGGGGACAGCCUAACCCAGUGGCACUAGAGGAAUUAAAGACACACACACAGAAAUAUAGAGGUGUAAAGUGGGAAAUCAGGGGCCUCACAGCCUUCAGAGCUGAGAGCCCCAAACAGAGAUUACCCAUGUAUUUAUUAACAGCAAGCCAGUCAUUAGCAUUGUUUCUAUAGAUACUCGAUUAACUAAAAGUAUCCCUUAUGGGAAAAGAAGGGAUGGGCCGAAAUGAAGGGGUGGGUCUGGCUAGUUAUCUGCAGCAGGAACAUGCCCUUAAGGCACAGAUUGCUCAUGCUAUUGUUCAUGGUUUAAGAACGCCUUUAAGCGGUUUUCCGACCUGGGUGGGCCAGGUGUUCCUUGUCCUCAUUCCAGUAAACCCACAACCUUCCAGCGUGGGCGUUAUGGCCCUCAUGAACAUGACACAGUGCUGCAGAGAUUUUGUUUAUGGCUAGUUUUGGGGCCAGUUUAUGGCCAGAUUUGGGGGGGCCUGUUCCCAACAAGAAAUAUGGUAUAAAUGAUUAAAAAACUGUACACCUGGCCAGGCACAGUGGCUGACGCCUGUAAUCUCAGCACUUUGGGAGGCCAAGGCAAGGCGGAUCACGAGGUCAGGAGAUAGAGACCAUUCUGGCUAACACGGUGAAACCCCGUCUCUACUAAAAAUACAAAAAAAUUAGCUGGGCGUGGUGGUGGGUGCCUGUAGUCCCAGCCACUCGGGAGGCUGAGGCAGGAGAAUGGCAUGAACCCAGGAGGCAGAGCUUGCGGUUAGCCGCGAUCACACCACUGCACUCCAGCCUGGGUGACAGAGUGAUACUCUGUCUCAAAAAAAAAAAAAAAAAGAUUGUACACCUGUAUAGGACACUUACCAUGAAUGGAGCUUGCAGGACUGGAAGUUGCUCUGGGUGAGUCAGUGAGGAGGGUGAAUGAAUGUGAAGGCCUAGGACAUUACUGUACACCACUGUAGACUUUAUACACACUGUGCACUUAGGGUACACAACAUUUUUUUAAAAUGCUUUUCUUUCUUCAAUAAUAAACUAACAUUAGCAUACUGUAACUUUGUAACUUUAUAAACUUUUUAACAUUUUAAGCCUUUUUGACACCUUUGUGGUAGCUUAAAACACAAACAUUGUAUAGCUGUACAAAAAUAUUUUCUUUUUAUCCUUACUAUAUAAACUUUUUUCUUUUUUUUUUUUUUAAUAGAGAUGGCGUUUUGCUAUGUUGCCCAGGGUGGUCUCAAACUCCUUGUAUGAUUCUCCCCAGGGUCUGAAAGCUUAAGGGGAUGAGUAACCCCUCCCUUCCCAGGCCCAGUCCCAAGGCGCAAGGUCACUUGUGUCAGCAGUGUGCGCCAGCAGGAUAGCAGAAGCAGGAAGAGAGCCGGCUGGAAGACACGUACCCCCGAAGAUCGAGAAAGAGGCCAUCCGGGUACAACGUAGCAGUUACGUCAGACUAGGACACUUCCUGUUUACAGGAGACUGUAAAACCUUUGCCCCGUCCUCACUUGGUGCUGACGCCAUUUUAAGCCUCGGCCUUCCUGCACUCAGGCGCACCCAGGCGCUCCUUAAAACAGCUUAUUGCUCCACACCUCCUCGUGUUGUCUGUGGACGCGCUCUUGGGGUUGGAACCGAUACAAGAACCUUACACUGCUGGGCUCAAGUGAUCUGCCUGCCUCGGCCUCCCAACGUGUUGGGAUUACAGGCGUGAGCCACCACGCCUGGCCUAUUCUUUUACUUUUUAAAAUUUUGUGAAAAACUAAGACACAAACACACACAUUAGUUUAGGCCUACACGGGGUCAGGAUCAUCAAUAUCACUGUCUACCACUUCCACAUGUUGUACCACUGGAAGAUCUUCACGGGCAAAAACACACAUGGAACUGUCACCUAUGAUGAUGAUGCUUCCUUCUGUAGUACCUCCUGAAGGCUCUGCCUGAAGCUGUUUACAGUUAACUUUUUUUUUUAAAAAAAAGUAUAAGUAGAAGGAGAAUACUCUAAAGUGAUGAUAAAAAGUAUAGUAUAGCAAGCUGGGCACGGUGGCUCACACCUAUAAUCCCAGCACUUUGGGAGGCCGAGGCAGGCGGACCACCUGAGUAUUGACUUUCUCUUUAUGUUGGAUUUAGGAGGAGGACAGGACAUCUUUUUCUUUGCCUGUAUCCCAGGGAUAGGAGCAAAAAAUUUCUAAGAAUAAUGACUUGAUCAAAGAGAUUCGGGGACUCUAAUCCCUUUCAGUUCAGAUGUUUUAGAAUAAUUUUCAUGCCUAAAGACGGUGAUUUACUUUUAUUUUUAUUUUUAGAGAUAGAGUCUCUCUCUGUUGCCCAGGCUGGAGUGCAGUGACGUGAUCUCACCUCACUGCAACCUCCGCCUCCCAGGUUCAAGCGAUUCUCGUGCUUCAGCUUCUGUAGUAGCUGGGAUUACAGGCAUGUGUCACCACGUGCAGCUAAUUUUUGUAUUUAAAUUUAGUAGAGACGGGGUUUCGGCAUGUUGGUCAGGCUGGUCUCAAACUCCUGGCCUCAAGUGAUCCGCCUGUCUUGGCCUUCCAAAAUGUUGGGAUUACAGGCGUGAGCCACUGCACCCAGCCAAAAUAUGUGAUUUUAUGUCUUCUAGGAAAAUAGUGUAAAAUUCAGCACGUUAAGAAGCUUUUGGUUUUCUGAAUUAUGUUUGACAUGUUAUUGUUGACAAACAGAGGACUCUGAUUAAUAGCUCCAGGAAGCCAUCACUAUUGUUGCGAGUUUAAAGGUUAAAGACCCAAGAUUUAGGAAGAGUUAACACUAAAUAAUCCUAGAUUCUGACUGUUUUUCAGGAAAUAAAUCUUUAUAUGUAUUUGUGUUCUCUAUAUAUACACACAUACAGUAGGCUAAUAUACAUAUACAUACAGUAGGCUAAACUUAGGCUACACAUUUUUUUAAAAUGCUUGCUUUCUUCAAUAAUAAACUAACAUUAGCAUACUGUAACUUUGUAACAUAAACUUUUUAACAUUUUAAACCUUUUUGACACUUUUGUAGUAAUAUUUAGCACACACACACACACACACACAGUAGGGUAAACUUGCAUCCAAGUUUGCCUAGAACAGUCCUGGUUCAUGUCUCUUGUCCCAGUGUAAUUAUUAAUAGUAUAUACUUUCACUCUCAAAAAUGACCCAGGGUGAGCCACGCGCCCAGCUCUGUUUCUUAUCCAUGUCUAACCAGGAAGCCCCUACUUCCUGUCUUACCAGACUGAACCAAUUUACAACUUAUACAUAUUGAUUGAUGUCUCAUGUCUCCCUAAAAUGUAUAAAAGCAAACUGUACCCCUGACCACUUUGGGCACAUGUCUCAGGACUUUCUGAGGCUGUGUCAUGGGUGCAUCCUCAACCUUGGCAAAAUAAACCUUCUUUCUGGGUUUUUUUUUUUUUUUGAGAUGGAGUUUCACUCUUGUUGCCCAGGCUGGAGUGCAAUGGCGUGAUCUCGGCUCACCACAACCUCUGCCACCCAAGUUCAAGCAAUUCUCCUGCCUCAGCCUCCCAAGUAGCUGGGAUUACAGGCACGCGCCACCACGCCCAGCUAAUUUUGUAUUUUUAGUAGAGGUUUCUCCAUGUUGGUCAGGCUGGUCUCAAACUCCGGACCUCAGGUGAUCUGCCUGCUUUGGCCUCCCAAAAGUGCUGGGAUUACAGGCAUGAGCCACUGUGCCCAGCCUUGGCAAAAUAAACUUUCUAAAUUGACUGAGACCUGUCUCAGAUAUUUGGGGUUCACUAUUAUAUGCGCACGCACACACACACACACAUAUAUGUAUUUGUUUCUUGAGACAGGGUCUCCCUCUGUCACCUAGGCUGGAGUGCAAUGGCAUGAUCAUGGGUCACAGCCCCCUCAACCUUCUGGGCUCAAGUGACCCUCCCACCUCAGCCUCCUGAGUAGCUGGAACUACAGGCAUGCACCACCACAUCUGGCUAAUUUUCAGUUCAAAUUUCUUUUCUUUUUUUUUUUUUUUUGAGACGGAAUCUUGCUCUGUCACCCAGACUGGAGUGCAGUGGCAUGAUCUCAGCUCAUUGCAACCUACCCUUCCCGGGUUCAAGCGAUUCUCCUGCCUCAGCCUCCCAAGUAGCUGAGACUACAGGCGCGUGCCACCAAGCCCAGCUAAUUUUUGUAUUUUUAGUAGAGAGGGGGUUUCACCAUAUUGGCCAGGGUGGUCUUGAACUCCUGACCUCCUGACCUCGGCCUCCCAAAGUGCUGGGAUUACAGGCGUGAGCCACCGCACCCAGCCUUCAGUUCAAAUUUCAACCUAUCUGACUUUUAAGCUUCCUUUCUAGCCUCCUGCUCUCAACUUAUUUAUUUCCCUCAGCAGCAAGUAUCACCUUCAUUAACUUCUGUUUUUAUGACACUGUAUCCCAUGCCUCCCACACACCACAAUUCUAAGAAUUCUGCAGUCACUGCCCAGAAAAUAUGGAAUCUCAAACUUUAGUUUCAGAUUUGGCCUUUUCUCUAAUUUAUACCUCUAAGUGAGCUAAUAGGUACUGACCAUUAAAUUAGAAUAGAAAUCAGAAGACAGGAUCCUAUCUUCUCAGGAGGAAUAAUCAAAUAGAAAAGUAAGACAAAGCAAGCAAAAGUUUGUUGUUGUUGUUGUUGUUGUUGUUAUUGUCGUUUUGAGAUGGAGUCUCACUCUGUCACCAGGCUGGAGUGCAGUGGCACGAUCUCGGCUCACUGCAACCUCCAUCUCCCGGCUUCAAGCAAGCAAUUCUCCUGCCCCAGCCGCCCGAGUAGCUGGGAUUUAAGAAUAAUGUGAUUAAAUAGGCCGGAUGCCGUGGUUCACACCUGUAAUCCCAGCACUUUGGGAGGCCGAGGCGGGCGGAUCACUUGAGGCCAGGAGUUCGAGAUCAGCCUGGGCAACAUGGUGCAACCUCGUCUCUACUAUGAAUACAAAAAUUGGCUGGGCAUGGUGGUGCAUGCCUGUAAUCCCAACUACUCAGGAGGCUGAGGCAGGGGAAUUGCUUGAACCCGGGAGGCGGAAGUUGCAGUGAGCCGAGAUCAUGCCACUGCACUCCACCCUGGGGGACAGAGCGAGACUCCGCCUCAAAAAAAAAAAAAAAAAAAAAAAGAAUAUCAUGAAAUAGCUUUUAUUUCCAAAAAGAUGGAAGGCAAAGACAGAGCCACACUCACCGGGGGGAUGAGGCAGCAGGAGCGGAUGGAGUCGCUGAGGCCCAUCCAUUGCUGGUAGUUGGGGCAGUCAGUGGUGCAUUCGUAGCUGCGGCCCUGGAAGGCCCUGUCCUCGUAGAAGGUGAUCUGAAAAAUGGAAGAUGUGGGAGCAUGGAGUGAUUGGCCCCCACUGAGGCCACUGCAUUAGGGCCAAGGCUGAGCAUCCGGUACCCAGGACUUACCUUUCCCAUUUUGAAGGAAGUGAGCAGAUGUUUUCUGGUUGCUGUGUGGGACUGCGGGAACGUCACUGUAUGUAUAGCAGCCCUGACUGCUGCCUCCACAGGAAAUCACACAAAAGGGCCCAUUUUGGUGAGUAAGGGGAUUUGCAAGCUCGCUGCUCUCCGUGCCCAGGUCACUGGGGUUGGCUGAAUGGUUUACUCUCAUUCUUUCUGGUAGGUUCGGGUUGUUCUAAUUCACUAAAGCUGUUGUUGCCAUCAAAAUGAAUAGAGUACACUUUUAGUUGAGCAAAAGGAUGGGCGAAAUUCUGUCUCUGUGCUUUUAUUUUAUAGUUUACUCUGCUUAAUUGACUUCUCAAAAGUCAUUAAACUAAGUAAUGAAUUCUGCUCAGGGACUGGUGGUGUUUUUGUGUGUGUGUGUGUGUGUGUUUUAGUUCUAAAAGCCAGAAUUUAAAUAGUAAGGAAUCUUAAAGAAGAGGGAAUCAAGUGAAGUAAUCUGUGAAAGUGUGUUAAAACCCAUAAAGCUUAGUUCAAAUUCAAAAUUCUGUGAUCAGCCAGGCGAGGUGGUGCACACCUAUAAUCCCAGGACUUUGGGAGGCUGAGGCAGGUGGAUUGCUUGAGCUCAGGAGUUAGAGACCAGCCUAGGUAACAUGGUGAGACCCCAUCUCUACAACAAAUACAAAAAUUAGCCCUGCAUGGUGGCGCAUACCUGUAGUCCCAGCUAUUUGGGAGGCUGAGGUGAGAGGAUUGCUUAAGCUCAGGAGGUCGAGGUUGCAGUGAGCCAUGAUUGCACCACUGCACUCCAGCCUGGGCAACAGAGCAAGACCCUGUCGCAAAAAAAAAAAAAAAAAAAUUCUGUGAUCAUCAUUGUUGGUGUUUGGGGGCUUGUCUUGAAUAAAACUGAUACUUGCCUGGAAUUUUGUAGGCUUCUGGGGGCUGGGUAUUAUUUCUUGUUCAUGUCUAUCCCUGAGCCCUAGAGCAGAGGGUUGGCACAUUGCAGGUCCUCAAUAAUUGGCUCUGACCUGAGCAAAAACAGAUAGUUGUGGCUUUCUUCCCCCUUUCAGAUCUUCCUAAGGGCCUAAAUCCCUCCUUCUGCUGGUGGCUGUCCAGAGUCCUGCCUGCUGUUUGGUGUUCCUGCUCUGCCUCAAAUGUUACCACUAAGUGGCUGAUUGGUCUUCUCAAGGCAUGGGACCAAAAGGGCUCAGAGUUGGUCCCUAUUGCUGGCAGAUUGGACAUUCUACAGUGGAAAUAGCUGGAUUAGCCUUAAUAAGUAGAAGUUAAUGCAUAGCCUUCAUCCAUACCACUAUGAACGCUCUCUUAGUGAGCUCACUGCCAGCAGUAGGGUGGCUGAUGGCAGACGCUGACUGGAAUCAAAUGACCAAAUCAUUUUUUCUACUUGGUUGUUUAGUGCCUCUUCAAUGGUGGAUGCCCUACACUGGGCCUUCACAUGGGAUACAACUAUCUUCGCCCUUUGUGCCCAAUCCCAUAUCUCCCUGCACAUUCCUCUACCCCAGACCUUCUUGUCCCUAAUCUUCCAAUCUUUCUCCUUCCAGGCCCUGGACCAGCCAGCCAAGCCACACAUUACUGCUCAAUAAUUCCAUAUAUGCUUGACCUUGGGCUACUUUUCUUUCUGCACCGAGUGAGCAGCCAGGUGCACUACCUCAAGGUUGCCUUUUGGGAGGAUUUCCCUCACUGCUGUCUUUAGGGUGACUCCUGAGUGAGCUAUUCUGCAGCAGCAUUCUAUUUUGGGCUUGUACCCAAAUGCCAUGCCAAUUUAUUAGUGUAUCAAGCUCAGCCUUCCCCCACUCUAUCAGCUGGUCAGAAGGGACCCCUGCAGGCAGUUGUAAGUGUGAGCUGAGAGAGAGCUAUUGCAAUAAUGGUGACUUCAUCCCAUCCCGCAGGGAAGGCUAGGGCUAGAGUUGUCAGGAACUUAGGCAAGUGGACCGGGAAUCUGUGCCUCUGCAUUGCCCCGUAAUUUGAUGUGGGCUGCUGCCAUGGAGAAGUGUAACUUUGGGCAAGGCAGCUUCCUCCAGCAGAAGAAAAUUCUUGGAGACAAACUCAGCUUUAAGCUGUCAGCAUCUGGGAGAAGGAGUGCUUCAGUCCACAGUGGAAGUCCAGGCAGCACCAGAGCGUCCACUACAAGAAGAAAAUAAAGCUGAGAUAACUGCAGUUAACAUUUUGGUGUUUCAUCAUCCCAGCUUUUUUAUAUGUCAAACCCAUGUGUGGUUGUACAGUGUUAUUUAUACUGUGUAGCAUUCUCUUGUUUUCUUCUAAGUCACCUUUCAAAUAAAGUGAUUAGUAAUACU